rnacentral:rRNA from 1 species
AUGGGAAGUCGCUUGCCAGGAUCACGUUUCAGAGCUGCCAAAUCUGCUUCAAAUUGGGGCAUUGAUUCAUCAUCUUCAUCAACCGCUUCAUCGUCUUCUACAAUUGGGGUCGGGGUGUUUGCACUAGUGCUAGCUGCAGAUUGCUCUCAACCUCAAUGGAGUUGGUGUGGAUGUAGAAGUUACUUUGCUUGUCUUUCAAGAUCUGUCCCACAUUUCAAAUAUGCUAACAUCCUUCUUCUUCAUCUACAUCACAAUCACAUAAACAAAGUAGAAACCAAUGGCAGUGGCAAUUUGGCAUGGACUGAUGUACAUUGGACAAACAUCUUCAUCGUAAGCAGCAAAUGA